rnacentral:rRNA from 1 species
CCUACGGGGGGCAGCAGUGGGGAAUAUUGCACAAUGGGCGCAAGCCUGAUGCAGCCAUGCCGCGUGUGUGAAGAAGGCCUUCGGGUUGUAAAGCACUUUCAGCGGGGAGGAAGGCGGUGAGGUUAAUAACCUCAUCGAUCGACGUUACCCGCAGAAGAAGCACCGGCUAACUCCGUGCCAGCAGCCGCGGUAAUACGGAGGGUGCAAGCGUUAAUCGGAAUUACUGGGCGUAAAGCGCACGCAGGCGGUCUGUCAAGUCGGAUGUGAAAUCCCCGGGCUCAACCUGGGAACUGCAUUCGAAACUGGCAGGCUAGAGUCUUGUAGAGGGGGGUAGAAUUCCAGGUGUAGCGGUGAAAUGCGUAGAGAUCUGGAGGAAUACCGGUGGCGAAGGCGGCCCCCUGGACAAAGACUGACGCUCAGGUGCGAAAGCGUGGGGAGCAAACAGGAUUAGAUACCCCAGUAGUC